UGCGUAGGGGGCAAGCGUUGUCCGGAUUUAUUGGGCGUAAAGAGCGUGUAGGCGGCCAGUCAGGUCCGUUGUGAAAACUCGAGGCUCAACCUCGAGACGCCGAUGGAAACCGACUGGCUAGAGUCCGGAAGAGGAGAGUGGAAUUCCCGGUGUAGCGGUGAAAUGCGCAGAUAUCGGGAAGAACACCCGUGGCUAAGGCGGGUCUCUGGGCCGAUACUGACGCUGAGGAGCGAAAGCGUGGGGAGCGAACAGG
rnacentral:rRNA from 1 species